UCUCCGUUGGUGAACCAGCGGAGGGAUCAUUACAGAGUUGCAAAACUCCCAAACCAUUGUGAACGUUACCUAUCCCGUUGCUUCGGCGGGCGGCCCGGGCCCCGCGCCCGGCGCCCCCCGGCCCCCCGUGGGCGCCCGCCGGAGGUAAACCAAACCCUUGAAUUGCAUGGCCUCUCUGAGUCUUCUGUACCGAAUAAGUCAAAACUUUCAACAACGGAUCUCUUGGUUCUG
rnacentral:misc_RNA from 1 species